UCCCGGCCCACCGCCCGAUGGUCGAAGCGAGGGAUUACGGGAUAGACAGCAACGCCGAAUACCCCGACGAUAGCCAAGGAGGUAGGAGUGAGCCCGAGGAUGAGAGUAACCUGGAGAAUCAAGGAUUUUCCUGCUGAUACUGCACUGACAUGGACACCUGCCAUUUUUUGCUCUUUUGUGUACAACC